rnacentral:rRNA from 1 species
UACGUAGGGGGCAAGCGUUGUCCGGAAUUAUUGGGCGUAAAGCGCGUGUAGGCGGUUCGAUAAGUCUGCUGUAAAAGUCGGGGGCUCAACCCCCGAAAGCCGGCCGAUACUGUCGGACUAGAGUCCGGAAGAGGCAAGUGGAAUUCCCGGUGUAGCGGUGGAAUGCGCAGAUAUCAGGAGGAACACCGAUGGCGAAGGCAGAUCUCUGGGCCGUAACUGACGCUGAGGAGCGAAAGCAUGGGGAGCGAACAGG